rnacentral:lncRNA from 1 species
ACCCGGAGCGAGGCCAUCGUGCAGCAAGGAGGCGAGGAGCGGCGGCGGCGCUGAGCCGGGCCCGGGUGUGGGGGCGCCUAUAUCCCCAGCCCAAGCUGCAGGAAGCCGCGCCGCUUCCUCGGAGGGGCUGGGACGGCGGCGGCCACGUGGGGGGCGGGGGCGACGCUCGGGGCCCGCGGCUGGAGGGGGAGUCGCUGCCUCACCCGCGCCUGGCGCCCGCGGCUCCCUCCGCCUCGCCGGCGUUGGCCCACCCUCUCGUAGCUCACCCCGCGAGGCUGGACAGCUCCCGGAACCCCGGAACCGGGAUCUAUUUCGGGGGCUCGGCUGCGUGGCGCCCAGGACUCUCCAGGGUCUCCCAGGAUCGCUCCCCGAAUUCGAGUCGCCCCCUCUCUCUUUCGGGAAUACCAGCUGAUGUCAGUCCGCCAGCCAAAACCAGGGAGGAGAAGCGGGAGCCAGCCCUCUGGAGUCGGGAGAAGGAAGAAGGUGCCACAGCUCUUCAGGACCACGGUUGGGAGAAAGAAUGGAGGGGUUUUAGAACCUUCAGUGUGCGACUUCAUGUGCCAGUCUUCAUCUCAGGAUCUCAAGCUCUUGGAUCAUGGGCACGGAUAACCUGUUGUCCUCCUCUAUGGUCAAGAGGCUGCUUUUGCAAAGAAUCCAGUGGGAGAGAGUCAAUGGCCUGCUUGACGUGAACUCCAAAGUCCUCCUGAUCAGAAUACCAAUUUCUUACUGGGUCUGGAAAGGAGGAGAGAAGGAUAGAGAGUUUCUUCUAGGACCAAAUUGAUUCCUCCACAAAUAGGAAGAUCCCCAGACUGUGUGCACACACCCUCCUCCUCCUUCCUUCUCCAACCCUGGCUGGACCAUGACAUCACAUGGUGGAGGCUGUUUUUUAAAAAGAACUCAGGCCAGAUUUACAAGAAUGAUGCUCAGGCAGCGUGACUGUCAAGGACCGUGGCCAAGUGACCCAUAGCACACACCCAGCAGUGCUGAGAACAUAGCUAGUCCCUUAGCACCUGGGGCUGACUCAUGGUUGCUGUAGGACCCAAUGCCAGAUGCCAGGAUUGCUUUCUCCCUCCAUUCAUUAGGACUGUCCCAUGAAACCCUCCCCAGGAACCCUUCUACCCCAUCCCGGCAUGCCAGGAGCCUGGAUACUGCAUAACACAGGGUACUCAUAUUUGUUUACCAAGCCUUGAAGAUGACAGGCAAUAUGCUGAUAUGCUCAAUGCAUCAUACAAAUUGUUUUAUUUAAAACUGAACUAUUAAAUUAAGUAUCAUAGCAACUCACUUUACAGACAAGGAAACUGAAGCUCAAAGGUUAAGUAAGGGCCAGGCAUGGUGGCUCACUCCUGUAAUCCCAGCAGUUUGGGAGGCUGAGGUGGGAGGAGGAUUGCUUAAGCCCGCGAGUUAGAGACCAGCCUGGCCAACAUGGUGAAACCCGCCUCUACUGAAAAUACAAAAAUUAGCAGGGCAUUGUGGCACAUGCCAAGGUGGGCAGAUCACCUGAGGUCAGGAGUUCGAGACCAGCCUGGCCAACAUGGUGAAACCCCAUCUCUACUAAAAAUACAAAAAUUAGCUGGGCGUGGUGGUGGGCGCCUGUAGUCCCAGCUACUCAGGAGGCUGAGGCAGGAGAAUCGCUUGAACCUGGGAGGUGGAGGUUGCAGUAAGCCAAGAUAGUGCCACUGCACUCCAGCCUGGGCGACAG